AUUUUAUCUUUGCAUGGUUAUCAUUGGUGAAAUCAAUGACCAAAAGUUUUUCCAUUUUGCAGGAGUCAUACAGUAACAUCAACAUUAGCAAUAACUUUUAUUCCGAAGACAGAUAAGAGGAAGACAAAGAUGGGGUUUUACCCAAAACUUCACUUACUCAAGAGGCUGAAAUCAACAUGAAGUCAGACGUGCUGGACAUUCUUUAAACCACUUGUGUCCACUGGAAUUGUCUUCUCCACAGUGUUAGCUAAAGCUGUAACUUGCCUGGAAGCCAUCUCUUGUCAAGGCAUGAGUCUGUGUUUUAAACAUGAACUGGCAUGCCUCAGAGGUCAUCACACUUCCUUCAGCUGCCCUGUCUCAAGGCUAUCUUCCCCAAAGGCAUCCAGUCAUCGUGCAGAAACAGAGACCAAGAGCAGAGUUUGCUGCAGUCAUUAGUCACUUCUGUUGCUUUGGGGUAUGGAUGAAAUAUGUCAAAAAGAAACAUGGGAAGCAAGUACCAACCUCCCACCAGUUGCAGCAAAGCGAGAGCUGGACU
rnacentral:lncRNA from 1 species